rnacentral:rRNA from 1 species
GAUGAACGCUGGCGGCGUGCCUAAUACAUGCAAGUCGAGCGAACGGACGAGAAGCUUGCUUCUCUGAUGUUAGCGGCGGACGGGUGAGUAACACGUGGAUAACCUACCUAUAAGACUGGGAUAACUUCGGGAAACCGGAGCUAAUACCGGAUGAUAUUUGAACCGCAUGGUUCAAAAGUGAAAGACGGUCUUGCUGUCACUUAUAGAUGGAUCCGCGCUGCAUUAGCUGGUUGGUAAGGUAACGGCUUACCAAGGCAACGAUGCAUAGCCGACCUGAGAGGGUGAUCGGCCACACUGGAACUGAGACACGGUCCAGACUCCUACGGGAGGCAGCAGUAGGGAAUCUUCCGCAAUGGGCGAAAGCCUGACGGAGCAACGCCGCGUGAGUGAUGAAGGUCUUCGGAUCGUAAAACUCUGUUAUUAGGGAAGAACAUAUGUGUAAGUAACUGUGCACAUCUUGACGGUACCUAAUCAGAAAGCCACGGCUAACUACGUG